UACGGAGGGUGCAAGCGUUGUCCGGAUUCACUGGGUGUAAAGGGUGUGUAGGUGGAAUAGCAAGUCAGAGGUGAAAGCCUACAGCUUAACUGUAGAACUGCCUUUGAUACUGCUGUUCUUGAGUACUGGAGAAGCCGCUGGAAUUCGUGGUGUAGCGGUGAAAUGCGUAGAUAUCACGAGGAACACCUGAGGCGUAGGCGGGUGACUAAACAGAUACUGACACUGAGGCACGACAGCGUGGGGAGCAAACAGG
rnacentral:rRNA from 1 species